rnacentral:rRNA from 1 species
AUCGUAACUCCUACGGGAGGCAGCAGUGGGGAAUUUUGGACAAUGGGGGCAACCCUGAUCCAGCAAUGCGCGUGAGUGGAGAAGGCCUUCGGGUUGUAAGGCUCUUUUGUCAGGGAAGAAACGGUAGUAGCUAAUAUCUAUUACUAAUGACGGUACCUGAAGAAUAAGCACCGGCUAACUACGUGCCAGCAGCCGCGGUAAUACGUAGGGUGCAAGCGUUAAUCGGAAUUACUGGGCGUAAAGCGUGCGCAGGCGGUUGUGUAAGUCAGAUGUGAAAUCCCCUGGCUCAACCUGGGAAUUGCAUUUGAGACUGCACGGCUAGAGUGUGGCAGAGGUGGAUAGAAUUCCACGUGUAGCAGUGAAAUGCGUAGAUAUGGGGAGGAAUACCGAUGGCGAAGGCAGCCCCCUGGGAUAACACUGACGCUCAUGCACGAAAGCGUGGGGAGCAAACAGGAUUAGAAACCCUGGUAGUCCUAGAGC